AGGCUGCAACUCGCCUACAUGAAGCUGGAAUCGCUAGUAAUCGCGGAUCAGCAUGCCGCGGUGAAUACGUUCCCGGGCCUUGUACACACCGCCCGUCACACCACGAGAGUUUGUAACACCCGAAGUCGGUGAGGUAACCUUUUGGAGCCAGCCGCCUAAGGUGGGACAGAUGAUUGGGGUGAAGUCGUAACAAGGUAGCCGUAUCGGAAGGUGCGGCUGGAUCACCUCCUUUCUAAGGAA
rnacentral:rRNA from 1 species